AACGAACGCUGGCGGCAUGCCUAACACAUGCAAGUCGAACGCGUGUAGCGAUACGCGAGUGGCGGACGGGUGAGUAACGCGUGGGAACCUGCCCAAUGGUAGGGAAUAACUGCGGGAAACUGCAGCUAAUACCCUAUGCUCCCUACGGGGGAAAGAUUCAUCGCCAUUGGAGGGGCCCGCGUCGGAUUAGCUAGUUGGCGGGGUAAUGGCCCACCAAGGCUACGAUCCGUAGCUGGCUGAGAGGAUGAUCAGCCACACUGGGACUGAGAUACGGCCCAGACUCCUACGGGAGGCAGCAGUGGGGAAUAUUGGACAAUGGGGAAACCCUGAUCCAGCAAUGCCGCGUGAGUGAAGAAGGCCUUAGGGUUGUAAAGCUCUUUCGGCGGGGACGAUGGUGACGGUACCCGCAGAAGAAGCCCCGGCUAACUUCGUGCCAGCAGCCGCGGU
rnacentral:rRNA from 1 species